UACGUAGGGGGCAAGCGUUGUCCGGAAUCAUUGGGCGUAAAGAGCGCGUAGGCGGCCCGGUAAGUCCGCUGUGAAAGUCAAAGGCUUAACCUUUGAAUGUCAGCGGAUACUGCCGGGCUAGAGUCCGGAAGAGGCGAGUGGAAUUCCUGGUGUAGCGGUGGAAUGCGCAGAUAUCAGGAGGAACACCAAUAGCGAAGGCAGCUCGCUGGGACGGUACUGACGCUGAGGCGCGAAAGCGUGGGGAGCGAACAGG
rnacentral:rRNA from 1 species